AUGAAGAACUUGAGAGAUCCGAAAACCAAGAUCUAUCCCUCAACUACGAGGGGAGGUAAGGAACUGCCAUCUAGCUUUGCACUUGAUUCACCUUCUGUUAUGAGUAAGUUUGCGACACCUACACCUGCUUCCGCUAUUCGUUCUGAUAUGUCGCAUGUUAUUUAUGAUGCCACUUCUGCUAUGCAUGAUACUUAUGAUGAAACUACCUCUAUGCCUGAUACUACUGUGCCACUCAGUGAUUUUCUUGAUGAACAAAUUGCUAGGGCUAGAGAAAUUGAAAAUAUUGAAUCUGAGGAUACUGAUGAAAGUGAUGAUGAAGAAUCACUUGUUAUUUCUAAGGGUUAUGUUUUUAAUUUAGCUUGCAAAAAUAGAAAAGGUGAUUUCAUCAUCUCUUCUUUUGUUAUCACUUUAUCACUUCUUUUUCUCAGUCCUGAAGAUAUGCAAGAGGCAAAGAAAUCUGUGAAAGAAAAAGGUAUUAAAGCUGAAGAUGUUAAAAAUUUACCUCCGAUUGAAGAAAUACAUGGUCUUAAUUUACCGCCUGUUGAAGAAACAUAUAAUCUUAAUCCUUUACCUAUUGAAGAAACUCAUGGUCUUGAUAACCCGACACAGGUAGUAAAGGUAAAUUCUCUCUAUAGAUAUGAUAAAGCUGAAAUCCCAUUUACUAAGUUUGCUAGCCCAUUCUUAGAUGAGUUUGAUAAAUUUAUGGCUAAGCAAAAAGAUUUUAAUGCUUAUUUUGGUAGACAAUUGAAAUACAAUUCAAAAAUGCUUGAACACUUAGGUGAUUAUAUGACUAAUGUCAAAGGUGAACUUAAACUUAAUAGUAAACAUGCUUCUAUGGUUACCACUCAACUAGAACAAGUACUUAAAUCUAAAAAUCAUUUGCUCAAUGAAUUGAAUAAUAAGAAUAAUGAUAAUGCUGUUAGAGUGGCUACUAGAAUUGGUAGAAUGACUCAGGAACCUUUGAAUUCUGAAGGCCACCCUAAGAGAAUUGAGCAAGAUUCUCAGAGAAAUAAUAUAGAUGUACCUAGUUCUUCUAAAAGGAAGAAGAAGAAAAAUGAUAGGACUUUGCAUGCUUCUAGUGAUCUUAUUGUUGAAACACCUGAGAAUCCAAAUGAUAUUUCUAUUUCUGAUGCUGAAACACAAUCCAGUAAUGAACCUGAAACUAGUGAUAAUGUUAAUGAUAAUAUUCAUAAUGAUGCUCAACCUAAUAAUGAUAAUGAUGUAGAAAUUGAACCUGCUAUUGAUCUUGAUAACCCACAAUCAAAGAAUCAACGUUAUGAUUAG
rnacentral:rRNA from 1 species